rnacentral:lncRNA from 1 species
CAACAAACUCAGGGUGACUAAAGAAGAAGUUCAGACAGAGAUAUAUAUUCCCAUCAGAGUAUCAAAAUUCCCAAGUUACAAUUGAAGGUCAUUCAGUAAAGGCAAAAGAUCAUUCUUACAAGUCACAAUGUAAAUGCAAACCACAUAAGUAUAAAAAUAGGAAGAGAGUAAAUCUUAAAAAAAUAAAAUUAAUAAAGCAAACUUCAUAUUAUAAAAUGGUCUCUUAAUUUGCAUGUACUUGAUGACAAAUAGGAAAUGUGCAACUGACAAGCCACUUGACAUGCAAGGGAAAAUCCUAAGAAUCUCAGUAAUAGACCUCUUGGGUGAAAACAAACAAAGAAGAAAUUAAUUAUUUAUUCCUCUAAUAGAAACAAUGCUUUCCUUAUAAAUUACUAUCUGACUCAGAUCUUCCUCGACACCAAGCUCCUUAAUCGUCCGGGUAACCAAAUUAAAACAAGCUAGUUCUCCAUCAUUUUUUCUG